GGACUACCGGGGUAUCUAAUCCUGUUUGCUCCCCACGCUUUCGCGCCUCAGCGUCAAUUACGGGCCAGAUAGCCGCCUUCGCCACCGGUGUUCUUCCCAAUAUCUACGAAUUUCACCUCUACACUGGGAAUUCCACUAUCCUCUCCCGCAUUCAAGCCAAUCAGUAUCAAGCGCAGCCCCCAGGUUGAGCCCGGGAAUUUCACGCCUGACUUGAUCGGCCGCCUACGCGCCCUUUACGCCCAGUAAUUCCGAACAACGCUUGCCCCCUUCGUAUUACCGCGGCGGCUGGCAC
rnacentral:rRNA from 1 species